GUGCUCGUUUCGGCAGCACAUGUAUUAAAACUGGACCGAUAUGGAGCAAAUUAGCAUAGCCCCUGUGCAAGGAUGACCAAUAAAUAAAUAAAUACUUAAAUAAAAUUU